UGUGCAGGGAUGGGAAUCGAACCCACAGUGUUCCGCUUACCGGGCAGAUGCCAUGUCCACUAGGCUACCCGGGAC
rnacentral:tRNA from 1 species